UGGGGAAUUUUGGACAAUGGGCGAAAGCCUGAUCCAGCAAUGCCGCGUGUGUGAAGAAGGCCUUCGGGUUGUAAAGCACUUUUGUCCGGAAAGAAAUCCUUGGCUCUAAUACAGUCGGGGGAUGACGGUACCGGAAGAAUAAGCACCGGCUAACUACGUGCCAGCAGCCGCGGUAAUACGUAGGGUGCAAGCGUUGAUCGGAAUUACUGGGCGUAAAGCGUGCGCAGGCGGUUUGCUAAGACCGAUGUGAAAUCCCCGGGCUCAACCUGGGAACUGCAUUGGUGACUGGCAGGCUAGAGUAUGGCAGAGGGGGGUAGAAUUCCACGUGUAGCAGUGAAAUGCGUAGAGAUGUGGAGGAAUACCGAUGGCGAAGGCAGCCCCCUGGGCAAUACUGACGCUCAUGCACGAAAGCGUGGGGAGCAAACAGGAUUAGAUACCCUGGUAGUCCACGCCCUAAACGAUGUCAACUAGUUGUUGGGGAUUCAUUUCCUUAGUAACGUAGCUAACGCGUGAAGUUGACCGCCUGGGGAGUACGGUCGCAAGAUUAAAACUCAAAUGAAUUGACGGGGUCAUA
rnacentral:rRNA from 1 species